rnacentral:rRNA from 1 species
AAUCAACGCUGGCGGCGUGCCUCAGACAUGCAAGUCGAACGAUUAAAGCUCUCUUCGGAGAGUGCAUAGAGUGGCGCACGGGUGAGUAACACGUAAGUAAUCUACCUUCGAGUGGGGAAUAACGUCCGGAAACGGACGCUAAUACCGCAUAAUGCAGCGGCAUCGCAAGAUGACAGUUGUUAAAGAUUUAUCGCUUGAAGAGGAGCUUGCGGCAGAUUAGCUAGUUGGUAAGGUAAUGGCUUACCAAGGCUACGAUCUGUAACCGGUCUUAGAGGACGGUCUGUCACACUGACACUGAAUAACGGGUCAGACUCCUACGGGAGGCAGCAGUCGGGAAUUUUGGGCAAUGGGCGAAAGCCUGACCCAGCAACGCCGCGUGAAGGAUGAAGUAUUUCGGUAUGUAAACUUCGAAAGAAUGGGAAGAAUAAAUGACGGUACCAUUUAUAAGGUCCGGCUAACUACGUGCCAGCAGCCGCAGUAACAC